AUUGAACGCUGGCGGCAGGCCUAACACAUGCAAGUCGAACGAGUGGCGUACGGGUGAGUAAUGUCUCGGAAACUGCCUGAUGGCGGGGGAUAACUACUGGAAACGGUAGCUAAUACCGCAUACCAUCAGAUGUGCCCCGAUGGGAUUAGCUAGUUGGUGGGGUAACGGCUCACCAAGGCGACGAUCCCUAGCUGGUCUGAGAGGAUGACCGGCAACACUGGAAGUGGGCCACGGUCCAGACUCCUACGGGAGGAAGCAGUGGGGAAUAUUGCACAAUGGGCGCAAGCCUGAUGCAGCCAUGCCGCGUGUAUGAAGAAGGCCUUGGGGUUGUAAGGUACUUUAAGCGGGGAGGCGUUACCCGCAGAAGAAGCACCGGCUAACUCCGUGCCAGCAGCCGCGGUAAUAC
rnacentral:rRNA from 1 species